rnacentral:rRNA from 1 species
UACGUAGGGGGCAAGCGUUGUCCGGAUUUAUUGGGCGUAAAGAGCGUGUAGGCGGUCAGGUAGGUCGGUUGUGAAAACUGGAGGCUCAACCUUCAGAGGUCGACCGAAACCCCCUGGCUAGAGUCCGGGAGAGGAGAGUGGAAUUCCUGGUGUAGCGGUGAAGUGCGCAGAUAUCAGGAAGAACACCCGUGGCGAAAGCGGCUCUCUGGAACGGUACUGACGCUGAGACGCGAAAGCGUGGGGAGCGAACAGG